rnacentral:misc_RNA from 1 species
ACAACCCUUAUUCAAAUAUUUUGUUUGAAUAGAUCUGAGCGUAACGAUAUCUUGAAACGCUUUAAAUCUACUAUGGCUAUUAAGUUUUAACUGCCUAUAUUUUUUUUAAUAUAAAAAAGAUAGAAAGCGACCGAAAUGGAUGGCCUCCAAAAUAACUUUUUAAA